rnacentral:misc_RNA from 1 species
AAGGAGUCGACCAACCGCGCGAGUGUUUGGGUGUCAAACUCGUGCGCGUAAUGAAAGUGAACGGAGGUGAGAGCCUUUGGGUGCAUCAUCGACCGAUCCUGAUGUCUUCGGAUGGAUUUGAGUAUGAGCACGGCUGGUCGGACCCGAAAGGUGAGCUCGGCUCCUCUUCCCCCGUGGCUUGGAUGCCGAUUUGGGAUCAAAUACUAACGUUUUUUUUUAGAUGGUGAACUAUGCGUGAAUAGGGUGAAGCCAGAGGAAACUCUGGUGGAGGCUCGCAGCGGUUCUGACGUGCAAAUCGAUCGUCAAAUUUGCGCAUAGGGGUGAGUCGAUCAAUUUCCCCGCCAACAUGUGUAUUUUAAUACGUAGAAUGACUUGCUAAUACAUAAUUUAGGCGAAAGACUAAUCGAACCAUCUAGUAGCUGGUUCCUGC